rnacentral:rRNA from 1 species
UAGCGUAUAUUAAAGUUGUUGCGGUUAAAAAGCUCGUAGUUGGAUCUGCGGUCACAGACUCCGGUCAGCCACUGGCUUGUACUGGUUGUCUUGACCUACCUUACUGGUUUUCUCUUGGUGCUCUUCACUGAGUGCCCUGAGUGACUAGUACGUUUACUUUGAAAAAAUUAGAGUGCUCAAAGCAGGCUUUUGCCUGAAUAGUGGUGCAUGGAAUAAUGGAAUAGGACCUCGGUUCUAUUUUGUUGGUUUUCGGAGCUCGAGGUAAUGAUUAAGAGGGACAGACGGGGGCAUUUGUACUGCCGCGUU